UAAUAAUCCACAAGUUUUUGCUAUUUGCUGAGGGAGAUGUGUAUAAUUAAAUAACCAUUUUCUUCUGUGUACGCAGAUACUAUACAAUGGGAAAAUACUAAUAAAAACAUGACUUUGCUUUAUCCAAGUAAUAGUAGUAGUAGUAGUGGUAUAACAAUUAUUAGCAGUAGUAGCAGUAGCGUCAUUAUUAUUAGUAUUAUUAUAGUGGUGGUAUUAUUGUUAGUAGUAAUAGUAUUAUUAUUAGUAGUAGUAGUAUUAAUGGUGGUAUUAUUAUUAUUAACAGUAGUAGUAGAUAUACAUUUUAUUGCAUUUGGCAGACGUCCUUAUCCAGAGCGACUUACAUUUGUCUCAUUUGUACAACUGAGCAAUUGAGGGUUAAGGGCCUUGCACAAGGGCCCAACAGUGGUAGCUUAGCAGUGCUGGGGCUUGAACUCCUGUCCUUCUGAUCAGUACCCAGAGCCUUUAACCACUGAGCCACCACUGCCCCAGUAAUAAUAAUAGUGGUAUUAUUAUUAUUAUUAUUAUU
ensembl:lncRNA